rnacentral:rRNA from 1 species
UGGGGAAUAUUGGACAAUGGGCGCAAGCCUGAUCCAGCCAUGCCGCGUGAGUGAAGAAGGCCUUAGGGUUGUAAAGCUCUUUCACCGAUGAAGAUAAUGACUGUAGUCGGAGAAGAAGCCCCGGCUAACUUCGUGCCAGCAGCCGCGGUAAUACGAAGGGGGCUAGCGUUGUUCGGAAUUACUGGGCGUAAAGCGCGCGUAGGCGGAUACUUAAGUCAGGGGUGAAAUCCCGAGGCUCAACCUCGGAACUGCCUUUGAUACUGGGUAUCUUGAGUUCGAGAGAGGUAAGUGGAAUUCCGAGUGUAGAGGUGAAAUUCGUAGAUAUUCGGAGGAACACCAGAGGCGAAGGCGGCUUACUGGCUCGAUACUGACGCUGAGGCGCGAAAGCGUGGGGAGCAAACAGGAUUAGAUACCCUGGUAGUCCACGCCGUAAACGAUGGAUGCUAGCCGUUGGAUAGUAUACUAUUCAGUGGCGCAGCUAACGCAUUAAGCAUCCCGCCUGGGGAGUACGGUCGCAAGAUUA